UACGGAGGGGGCUAGCGUUGUUCGGAAUUACUGGGCGUAAAGCGCACGCAGGCGGCUUUGUAAGUUAGAGGUGAAAGCCCAGAGCUCAACUCUGGAAUUGCCUUUAAGACUGCAUCGCUUGAACAUCGGAGAGGUGAGUGGAAUUCCGAGUGUAGAGGUGAAAUUCGUAGAUAUUCGGAAGAACACCAGUGGCGAAGGCGACUCACUGGACGAUUGUUGACGCUGAGGUGCGAAAGCGUGGGGAGCAAACAGG
rnacentral:rRNA from 1 species